rnacentral:rRNA from 1 species
UACAGAGGGGGCGAGCGUUGUUCGGAAUUACUGGGCGUAAAGGGCGCGUAGGCGGCCCGCUAAGUCGAACGUGAAAUCCCCAGGCUCAACCUGGGAACUGCGUCCGAUACUGGCAGGCUUGAAUCCGGGAGAGGGAUGUGGAAUUCCAGGUGUAGCGGUGAAAUUCGUAGAUAUUCGGAGGAACACCAGUGGCGAAGGCGGCUCACUGGCUCGAUACUGACGCUGAGGUGCGAAAGCGUGGGGAGCAAACAGG